rnacentral:rRNA from 1 species
UACGUAGGGGGCUAGCGUUGUCCGGAUUUAUUGGGCGUAAAGAGCGUGUAGGCGGCCAGGUAGGUCUGGUGUGAAAACUCGAGGCUUAACCUCGAGAUGUCAUCGGAAACCAUUUGGCUAGAGUCCGGAAGAGGAGAGUGGAAUUCCUGGUGUAGCAGUGAAAUGCGUAGAGAUCAUGAGGAAGACCAGUGGCGAAGGCGGGUCUCUGGACAGUUCCUGACACUGAGGCACGAAGGCCAGGGGAGCAAACGGG